ensembl:lncRNA
CACGAGGGUUGCUGAAUGUGGCUUUCACUGACGCGUUACUCGCUCUGCUCUGACUGGGAGGGUGAUCCGUGAGUCCCAGAAGCAGAGGUCAGGUUGGCCACCUGUUGGGUUUCUCUCUCGGGCCUCUGAUUCACACUCACAUGUUCUGCUAAAGCUUCCAUCCAUAUCUCACACCCAUCUGACGUGAACCCGCUGACCCGGGGGGCCGACGGCAUCCUCCGAGAUGCCUGAUGGAUUUAAUCACUCUGUAACCUUGAAAUCCAUAAGACCUAUUUGAGGACAUUAAUUGAAAGACUCACGUGGAUGCUGGUUCCUUUCAGACCCCCCUCUUCACAUUUCUCUGACAGCGGACACAACGAGACCCCAUUAACAUUCCCUGGAACCGGAGAGAGCGCUGCUCUGCGUGCUCCGCGUGCUCUGCUGCUGCUAACGGAGGCUACGCUAACUGUGGUGCCACUUUGUUCGAGGCUAUUCAGUGAUUUUAUCGUUGGUUUUAUAGGAUGAGCUUAUUACAGAACUGUGUUUUCUGAACAAAAGAACGUCAAAAGUGUAGUAAAUCAUCACCACGCUAAUUGCUAAUGAGAAGCGGCCGGUGAGGGCCGGUGACCUCCUGUGUGGCGUCCGAACCCGAGAGGACAAGCGCACCGAGCUGUUGACACUCGGGUCUGGAGUCGCCGAGCCCGCAUAAACCCCCACCGGCGGGGACCCGCCGGGGCCGCAUUAGACCGGCAUCGCAGUUUAAGCUGCACGCCGCUCGGCGGAAGGGCGUCAGCUGACACCGCUCGAUGCAGGGACAGCUGCUCCUGGUUCCUAAACGUGGCCACAUGACAAAAGAUAGCGUGAAGUGAGAGUAUCUCUUCAAUGCAAAACAGUUUAGAAGUCAAAUGUACGUAUGUGCAUUUACUGGUCCGAGGUGACUUUUUUUUCCGAUGUCAGACUUGUUGGUUUCCAGGCCUCAAAACUGCACCCACAUACUAAAUGACAAAUUACAUAAGCUUGGUUACUUUUUAAAUAGUAUUUAUCAAUCUCGGGGGGGGGGGCCUACGCCUCUUAUCAGCUUUACCUUUUGCCUGCGGCUUCUAAAGUGGGGGCUUUAACCCAAAUACGCUGACCUUCAACCGAUAAGAUCUGAAAAGAAAUACUGAACUUUGAACUGAAGUUAGCUGUGAUGUGUAACUGGGAAAUGCUCAUUAUCUCAACAUCUCCACCCAUUUUCCUUCACAGCCAAGUUAUCUCCUGAGCUGUUAUUAUUGGCAACUCAUCACCUCUAACAGCUGACUUUAACUACAUCAAGUUAAAGGCUACGUAAAGACUGUAGAUUUGUUUCUAAAUUCAGACCAUUAUCACAGGCCCAUCCGUGUCACUGCGUACCUUCGCCGCUGACGUGGCUUUCAUUUACACUUUAAAACAAUCGUACUGCAAAGUGAGUUUGUUCUCUUGCACGUCGUCUUCUUUAGCGCUCUGCUUGCCACAUUCCGAUCCAUCACAUCUACUGGACGAGCCUUUU